UACAGAGGGGGCAAGCGUUUGUUCGGAAUUACUGGGCGUAAAGGGCGCGUAGGCGGCCUCUUAAGUCGAACGUGAAAUCCCCGGGCUCAACCCGGGAACUGCGUCCGAUACUGGGGGGCUUGAAUUCGGGAGAGGGAUGCAGAAUUCCAGGUGUAGCGGUGAAAUGCGUAGAUAUCUGGAGGAAUACCGGUGGCGAAGGCGGCAUCCUGGACCGACAUUGACGCUGAGGAGCGAAAGCUAGGGGAGCAAACAGG
rnacentral:rRNA from 1 species